rnacentral:rRNA from 1 species
CACGUAGGGCGCAAGCGUUGUCCGGAAUUAUUGGGCGUAAAGAGCUCGUAGGCGGUCUGUUGCGUCCGCUGUGAAAACUCGGGGCUUAACCCCGAGCCUGCAGUGGAUACGGGCAGACUAGAGGUAGGUAGGGGAGAAUGGAAUUCCCGGUGUAGCGGUGAAAUGCGCAGAUAUCGGGAGGAACACCGGUGGCGAAGGCGGUUCUCUGGGCAUUACCUGACGCUGAGGAGCGAAAGCCAGGGGAGCGAACGGG